rnacentral:rRNA from 2 species
GAAGCAGCCAUCCUUGAAAGAGUGCGUAAUAGCUCACUGGUCAAGUGAUUCCGCGCCGACAAUGUAGCGGGGCUCAAGCACACCGCCGAAGUCAUGUCAUUGACGCAUGAGGUCUAACGACCGUGUCGAUGGGUAGGGGAGCGUCGUGUGCCGGGUGAAGCAGCGCCGGAAGGUAGUUGUGGACGGUUCACGAGUGAGAAUGCAGGCAUGAGUAGCGAUACACACGUG